UCCCACUUGAAGGAGUCAGGCACCUAAGAAUCAGUGGACUCUGUUAUUUCCUCCAAACCGAGAUGGAGGCCACCUGCGGAUGACAAUGACCUUCCCAAGCCAGACGACACAGGGCAGCCUGACGUGGUCUAUGCCUCUCUGGAUUCUGCAGCAGUAGAGAUUGGCAAACUGGACAAAACUUAGUAAUUGGGCUGAGUAACGCAUCUUCAAAGCAGUGAAUCCAGAAAGCCCACUGCGAAGGUCUCUUGGUCCAGUGUUUCCAGACCGUAAAUGAGAUGUUUGUGUUGGAAGAGAUCUGAAGAGCAUCCAGUCUUGCGGUUCUCAACCCCAGAGAGAUGAUCAGAUGCUCUGUACGAGACCUUCACUCAAGUGACUGGCGGCAUAGCUAUUGACUACAAGGGCUGAUUGUCCAAAAAGCCAUGGAGGAAAUUUUCCUAAAAGUCAUAGGGUUAGAUGGUGGAUGGAAGGAUCAAAACCCACUACAGUAUGGAAUCACAAUCUCUUAGGGAAAGGCUCACAGGAUUUAAAAAGUCCACUCCCUAGACAGACACACCUGCAUCCCAGGAGAAUCUAAGAGAAGUCUCUCCCUGCACCCCCUUCUCCCCAAGCUGAGAUCCCAUCCUUGUUCUUGAAGAAGUAAGCUUCCACAGUGAGCUCGAAGACAGGGUCUCCCUUGUACGAGGAUGCUUUGAUUUAGAGUUGAAGUUCAAAGCCCCCAUAAAAGAUAGAAAUGUCCACGUAAGAAUGUCUGGAAUGGCGGUAUCAGGCUUUCUUGAGGACUGAGAACCUCUUGUUGAUAAGAGAGGUAUUGCAAUGUGGUCCCUGGGACUGCCGUGUGACAGGAUCGGAAGAAUGU